GGAGUGAAGCAACGGUUAACGUGUCUGAUUAGGAAUAAGAAGAUCUAGGUUCGAAUCCUGGCAGCAUCG